GCGGCUGUGGUGAAGUGGCUAACACAACUGGCUGUGAACCAGUCAUUCGCGAGUUCGAUUCUCGUCAGCCGCC
rnacentral:tRNA from 1 species